UAAAUUCUUCGGGGCGGGGUGUGAUUCCCCACCGGCGGUUAUGCGGCCUUUGUGCCGAUAAGCCCGCGAGCGAUUUGUCAGUCGCAGGAUUCUGGUGAGAGCCCAGAGCCGACGGUAUAGUCCGGAUGGAAGAAGAUAUGG
rnacentral:ncRNA from 1 species